GAUCAUGGCUCCGGAUGAACGCUAGCUACAGGCUUAACACAUGCAAGUCGAGGGGCAGCAUGGUCUUAGCUUGCUAAGGCCGAUGGCGACCGGCGCACGGGUGAGUAACGCGUAUCCAACCUGCCUUACACUCUUGGGCAGCCUUCUGAAAGGGAGAUUAAUACAAGAUGUUAUCAUGAGUAAGCAUUUUCGCAUGAUUAAAGGUUUACCGGUGUAAGAUGGGGAUGCGUU
rnacentral:rRNA from 1 species